CAAACUACCACGGUUUUUCAGUUGGAGACCCGAUCCUGGCAUCAGAUGCUUUCCUACACUCAUGGCCUAACACUUGACAUUACGCUUUUCCUCCAUUUGCUCUGAUUGCCUGGACACUUCUCCACCUCUGGCGUUACUGGACUUCGCUAAUUCUCAUAUGCCCUCGACGGCUCAGCCCUGGUUCCCUACGCUCAUGGAAAUGUCCAUAGAUUACUCGAUAUUACUCCUGGUCUUCUCUGAUCUUUUGCUGGACUCCAACGGAAACAUUCAUCCGCUUCUACUCCAGGGGCAUCUCAGGCUAUUGGCUUGGCUCCUUUCC